UAUAUUUAAGUGUGUAUGAUGCAUAAGGAACUUUGAUUUCCUUGGGUAUGGUUUAAUUCCAUAAGAUAUAA
rnacentral:tRNA from 1 species